rnacentral:ncRNA from 1 species
ACGGGAAAGAUGAAAGACAAGAGUCAAUAAUUUAAAAAAAGGAUAGAUUACCCCUACUACCUUUUGUAUAAUGAAUUAACUAGAACAAACUUGGCAAAGCGGACUAAAGCCAAUCACCCCGAAACCAAACGAGCUACUUUCAAACAGCUAACAGAGCAAACUCGUCUAUAUGGCAAAAUAGUAAGAAGAUUUGAGAGUAGAGGUGAAAAGCCAGCCGAGCUUGGUGAUAGCUGGUUAUCCAAAUAAGAAUCUUAGUUCAGCUUUAAGUUUUUCCAAAAUAUUACCAAAUUUAAUGAAAACUUAAAACUUAAUUUAAAGAGGGAGAGCUCUUUAAAACAAGGAAACAACCUUCAACAGUGGGUAAAAAACAAAGCCUUCAUAGUUGGCCUAAAAGCAGCCAUCAAUUGAGAAAGAGUUCAAGCUCAACAAACUAUACAACUUUUAAUAACAACAAAAUUCAAUGAACCCCUGAUUAACAAUUGGAUUAAUCUAUAAAUAUGUAGAAGAGAUAAUGUUAAUAUUAGUAACAAGAAAUAAUUCUCCCUGCACAAGCUUAAAUCAAAUAUACGUUUGAUUAACUCAAUAAGACAAGACACCUCAUUAGUAUUCUUAUUAAGCUAAUUGUUAAUCCGACAUAGGAGUGCUGCUCGGGAAAGACAAAAAGCAAAAGGAACUCGGUAAACAUAAAUCCUGCCUGUUUACCAAAAACAUCACCUCUAGCAUCCCCAGUAUUAGAGGCAUUGCCUGCCCAGUGACAUCAGUUCAAGGGCUGCGGUAUCCUGACUGGGCAAAGGUAGCAUAAUCACUUGUUCUUUAAAUAAGGACUCAUAUGAAUGGCUAGACAAGGGUUUAACUGUCUCUUGCUUUAUGGCAGUGAAAUUGAUCUUCCUGUGAAGAAGCGGGAAUAACAUAAUAAGACGAGAAGACCCUAUGGAGCUUUAAUUUAUUAGCCUACUCAACCCACCUAUAACCCGCAAGGGCAUAAAACACAUGAAACCUAGGCUAAUAAUUUUGGUUGGGGUGACCUCGGAUAAUAGUAAAACCUCCGAGUGAUAUUAACCUAGAUCCAACAAACCAAAGUUUACAUCAUCAAUUGAUCCAAAACUCCUUUUGACCAACGGACCAAGUUACCCUAGGGAUAACAGCGCAAUCCUAUUUUAGAGUUCAUAUCAACCAGAUCGGUUUCUAUCUAUUAUAAAUUUCUCCCAGUA